rfam:Macaca mulatta chromosome 17, whole genome shotgun sequence.
AUCAUCUGGAAAUCUUGUUAAAAUGCAGAUUCUGAUUCAGUAGGUGUGGGGAUUUUGCAUUUCUAACAAGCACCCAGGUAAUGCAAA